UACGGAGGGAGCAAGCGUUACUCGGAAUUAUUGGGCGUAAAGGGCGCGUAGGCGAUUCGAAAAGUCAACUGUGAAAGCCCAGGGCCUAACCCUGGAAGUGCAGCUGAUACUGUUGAAUUUGAGUUCCGGAGAGGAAGGCAGAAUUCCCGGUGUAGCGGUGAAAUGCGUAGAUAUCGGGAGGAAUACCAGUGGCGAAGGCGGCCUUCCGGACGGAUGCUGACGCUGAGGCGCGAAAGCUAGGGGAGCAAACGGG
rnacentral:rRNA from 1 species